rnacentral:rRNA from 1 species
UACAGAGGGGGCGAGCGUUAUUCGGAAUUAUUGGGCGUAAAGGGCGCGUAGGCGGCUUUUCAAGUGACGGGUGAAAUCCCUCGGCUUAACCGAGGAACUGCCUGUCAGACUGGAAGGCUUGAGACCGGGAGAGGUGAGUGGAAUUCCCAGUGUAGCGGUGAAAUGCGUAGAUAUUGGGAGGAACACCAGUGGCGAAGGCGGCUCACUGGACCGGAACUGACGCUGAGGUGCGAAAGCGUGGGGAGCAAACAGG